rnacentral:rRNA from 1 species
UACGGAGGGUGCAAGCGUUAUCCGGAUUCACUGGGUUUAAAGGGUGCGUAGGGGGGUUGGUAAGUCAGGGGUGAAAUCCCCGAGCUUAACUUGGGAACUGCCAUUGAUACUAUCAGUCUUGAAUACUGUGGAGGUCAGCAGAAUAUGUCAUGUAGCGGUGAAAUGCUUAGAUAUGACAUAGAAUACCAAUUGCGAAGGCAGCUGGCUAGACAAAUAUUGACACUGAGGCACGAAAGCGUGGGGAUCAAACAGG